rnacentral:rRNA from 1 species
GUGGGGAAUCUUCCGCAAUGGACGAAAGUCUGACGGAGCAACGCCGCGUGAGGGAUGAAGGCCCUUUGGGUUGUAAACCUCUGUUAGGGGGAAAGAAAAGCAGUGGAAGCAAUAUGUCCAUUGCCUGACGUUACCCCCAGAGAAAGCUCCGGCCAACUCCGUGCCAGCAGCCGCGGUAAUACGGGGGGAGCAAGCGUUGUCCGGAAUCAUUGGGCGUAAAGGGCGUGUAGGCGGCUUGGCAAGUCGAAUGUGAAAUCCCACGGCUCAACCGUGGAACUGCGUUCGAAACUGCCUUGCUUGAGUGCGGGAGAGGUGUGCGGAAUUCCUGGUGUAGCGGUGGAAUGCGUAGAUAUCAGGAAGAACACCGGUGGCGAAGGCGGCACACUGGCCCAGCACUGACGCUGAGGCGCGGAAGCGUGGGGAGCGAACGGGAUUAGAUACCCCAGUAGUCC